CUGUGACACACCCGCUCCCAG
rnacentral:miRNA from 1 species